AUUAUUCAUGCUGAAAGUGGACUCACUACAAUCAGUGGGACUUGUUCCAUUGAUUUCAGUGGAUCUACUCUCAGCAUGAUUCAGU